rnacentral:rRNA from 1 species
ACGCGAGUAUAGAGUUUGAUCAUGGCUCAGAUUGAACGCUGGCGGCAUGCCUUACACAUGCAAGUCGAACGGCAGCGCGGAAUGGGGCAACCCGGCCUGGCGGCGAGUGGCGAACGGGUGAGUAAUAUAUCGGAACGUACCUUGGAGUGGGGGAUAACGUAGCGAAAGUUACGCUAAUACCGCAUACGAUCUAAGGAUGAAAGCAGGGGACCGCAAGGCCUUGUGCUCCUGGAGCGGCCGAUAUCUGAUUAGCUAGUUGGUGGGGUAAAGGCCCACCAAGGCAUCGAUCAGUAGCUGGUCUGAGAGGACGACCAGCCACACUGGAACUGAGACACGGUCCAGACUCCUACGGGAGGCAGCAGUGGGGAAUUUUGGACAAUGGGCGCAAGCCUGAUCCAGCAAUGCCGCGUGAGUGAAGAAGGCCUUCGGGUUGUAAAGCUCUUUUGUCUAGGGAAGAAACGGUGGGGGCUAAUGAUCCCUUGCUAAUGACGGUACCUGAAGAAUAAGCACCGGC